GCCUGGGUGGCUCAGUCCAUUGAGCGUCUGACUUUGGCUCAGGUCAUGUCGUGAGUUCGAGCCCCACAUCUGGCU
rnacentral:tRNA from 1 species